CGUUGGCUGGGCUGGGCUGUCUCUCUUUGGCUGGGCUGUCUCUCAUUGGCUGGGCUGUGACUGUCUCUCACUGGCUGGGCUGCAAGUGUCUCUCAUUGAAUGGGCAGUGACUGUCUCUCAUUGGCUGGGCUGUGACUGUCUCUCGUUGGCUGGGCUGGGCUGUCUCUCUUUGGCUGGGCUGUCUCUCAUUGGCUGGGCUGGGCUGUCUCUCAUUGGCUGGGCUGCAAGUGUCUCUCAUUGAAUGGGCAGUGACUGUCUCUCAUUGGCUGGACUGUAACAGUCUCUCACUGGCUGGGCUGUGCUGUCUCUCAUUAACUAGGCUGCAACUGUCUCCAUUGGCUGGGCUGUGACUGUCUUUCAUUGGGGCUGUAACAGUCUCUCAUUGGCUGGGCUGCAAGUGUCUCUCAUUGAAUGGGCAGUGACUGUCUCUCAUUGGCUGGGCUGUGACUGUCUCUCACUGGCUGGGCUGCAAGUGUCUCUCAUUGAAUGGGCAGUGACUGUCUCUCAUUGGCUGUGCUGUGCUGUCUCUCAUUAACUAGGCUGCAACUGUCUCUCAUUGGCUGGGCUGUGAGUGUCUCUCACUGGCUGGGCUGUGACUGUCUCUCACUGGCUGGGCUGGACUGUCUCUUCCUGGCUGGGCUGCCACCGUCGCUCAUUGGCUGGGCCCUUGCGGAGGAGAGCGGUAGAGUAGCAUCCACGCACAAAAUGAGUCUCUUCCUGUUGGGUCUGCAACCGACACUGAGUGGCAGGGUGGGAGAGCUCCCGGUCCCGGCCUCCAGAUGCCCUUCGGAAUGAGCCUCCCCUUGUUCAUUUUCACAGAUAAGAGAAUCGAAGCUACGACAAGUAGAUGAAGGGGUGGGUGGAAAAUGUGACCUACGUAAGGCUGGACGUGAGUGGAGUCUGGAGGACUGAAGGCGAGAGGAACCGCACGUAAGGACUCCCCGCACUCCACAAAACUCGUCCCCGUGGGAGGGACACGGCCAACGAUUGUGCCGCUGCCGUGUGUGUGCUGGGACGGAAUGGCCGGGUAAAGGUUGGUGGACAGUGGGAGCCGGGUUCUCACUGUUAGAGUUGACACUUCAGGUCAGCAAGGGAAGGAGGCUCCGGGGACCCACGAGGUACUGGAUUGCAGUCAGACACAUCUCGAACUCGCGUUUAACCUUCCGCGGACACAGAUGGCUCCACAGAGAAACGUGUACGGACGUGUGUGCAGUUGGGUCACCGUAUGCACUUAUGUCUGCUUGCCGUGGCCAUUAAGAGGGCCGGAGGGACUCGGGCAACGAGAACACCAAGCACCCAGAUACCCCACUCUGAAGGAGGGAGCAGAACUCCUUGCUCCUGAAGUGCGCGCUGUGCGUGGAGAUUCCUUCCAGGCAGGACAGUCAGAAAAGGGGGAAAAGGAGAAACUUCGCAGUGGAGAAACUGACAAAAGGCUACUGGCAGGGAAAAGCAUCAGACAAAUUCCCCUGGAGAAGCAGACUGCAACACACCUGACCGGUACUCCUCAAAAUCCCAGACAAGGAAAGUCGGAAAUCGUCACGGCCAAGACUACUGAACCUAGAGACAUGAUAACUGCACACAGUGAGGUACCCUGGAAGAGGUCCUGGAACAGAAAAAGGAGAUCCCGGCAAAGAAGAAAACCCAAAGAGACUGUAUAAACGUUAGUUGACAACAAUGUAUCAAAAAUUAAAAAAUAAAGACAUUAAAAAAAACCAUUGCGUCAAUAUUGGCUCAUGAAAUGUAACAAAUUGUUCCGAAUUGUUACAAACUGUACGAAUUGUUACGA